GCCAGUGUGGCACAGGGGUUUGCGUGUUGGACUAUGACUCUGGAGACCAGGGUUCGAAUGCUGGCUCAGCCA